GAUGAACGCUGGCGGCGUGCCUAAUACAUGCAAGUCGAGCGAACAGACGAGGAGCUUGCUCCUCUGACGUUAGCGGCGGACGGGUGAGUAACACGUGGAUAACCUACCUAUAAGACUGGGAUAACUUCGGGAAACCGGAGCUAAUACCGGAUAAUAUAUUGAACCGCAUGGUUCAAUAGUGAAAGACGGUUUUGCUGUCACUUAUAGAUGGAUCCGCGCUGCAUUAGCUAGUUGGUAAGGUAACGGCUUACCAAGGCAACGAUGCGUAGCCGACCUGAGAGGGUGAUCGGCCACACUGGAACUGAGACACGGUCCAGACUCCUACGGGAGGCAGCAGUAGGGAAUCUGCCGCAAUGGGCGAAAGCCUGACGGAGCAACGCCGCGUGAGUGAUGAAGGUCUUCGGAUCGUAAAACUCUGUUAUUAGGGAAGAACAAAUGUGUAAGUAACUAUGCACGUCUUGACGGUACCGAAUCAGAAAGCCACGGCUAACUACGUG
rnacentral:rRNA from 1 species